rnacentral:rRNA from 1 species
GAUCAUGGCUCAGGAUGAACGCUGGCGGCAUGCCUAAUACAUGCAAGUCGAACGGAGUGAAGCCUUCGGGUUUCAUUCAGUGGCGAACGGGUGAGUAAUACGCAGGGAACCUGGCCAUGGCAGGGGGAUACACUCUGGAAACGGAGCAUAAGACCCCAUAGGCAGUAAGGCGGCAUCGCCUUACUGUUAAAGAAAGCUGAAAGGCUUUGGCGAUGGAUGGACCUGCGGUGCAUUAGCUUGUUGGUGAGGCAACGGCUUACCAAGGCGAUGAUGCAUAGCCGGCCUGAGAGGGCGGACGGCCACACUGGGACUGAGACACGGCCCAGACUCCUGCGGGAGGCAGCAGUAGGGAAUUUUCGUCAAUGGGCGCAAGCCUGAACGAGCAAUGCCGCGUGAGUGAGGAAGGUCUUCGGACUGUAAAUCUCUGUUGCCGGGGAAAAAGGGGAAAUGCAGGAAAUGGCAUUUCAUGGAUGGUACCCGGCCAGAAAGCCACGGCUAACUACGUGCCAGCAGCCGCGGUAAUACGUAGGUGGCGAGCGUUAUCCGGAAUGAUUGGGCGUAAAGGGUGCGCAGGCGGUCUGUUAAGUCUGAAGGCAAAGGGAUGAGCUCAACUCAUUUAUGAUUCAGAAACUGGCAGACUUGAGGACAGGAGAGGGCGGUGGAACUCCAUGUGUAGCGGUAAAAUGCGCAGAGAUAUGGAAGAACACCAGUGGCGAAGGCGGCCGCCUGGCCUGUGACUGACGCUGAGGCACGAAAGCGUGGGGAGCAAAUAGGAUUAGAUACCCUAGUAGUCCACGCCGUAAACGAUGAGGAGCAGGUGUUGGGAGUGAAAUCUCAGUGCCGAAGCCAACGCAGUGACUCCUCCGCCUGGGGAGUAUGCACGCAAGUGUGAGACUCAAAGGAAUUGACGGGGGCCCGCACAAGCGGUGGAGUAUGUGGUUUAAUUCGAAGCAACGCGAAGAACCUUACCAGGUUUUGACAUCGGAUGCGAAGGCGCAGAGAUGCGCUGGAGGCUAUCAUCCAGACAGGUGGUGCAUGGUUGUCGUCAGCUCGUGUCGUGAGAUGUUCAGUUAAGUCUGGCAACGAGCGCAACCCCCGUGGUAUGUUACUAACGCUUUAGGGCGAGGACUCAUAUCAGACUGCCGGUGACAAACCGGAGGAAGGCGGGGAUGACGUCAAAUCAUCAUGCCCCUUAUGACCUGGGCUACACACGUACUACAAUGGCGUCUACAGAGGGAAGCGACCCUGAGAAGGGAAGCGAAACCGGAAAAGGGCGUCCCAGUUCGGAUUGAAGUCUGCAACCCGACUUCAUGAAGAUGGAAUCGCUAGUAAUCGCGGAUCAGCAUGCCGCGGUGAAUACGUUCCCGGGCCUUGUACACACCGCCCGUCAAACCAUGGAAGCCGGCAACGCCCGAAGCCGGUGGCAUAACCUUUUAGGAGUGAGCCGUCGAAGGCGGGGCCGAUGACUGGGGUUAAGUCGUAAAAAGGUAUCC